CUACGAAAAAAGGCAAAAAAAGGCCGCUGACACCGACGCGGAAGGUAUCCCUUGUGGAGGUGCGGAGAUCAUGUGUCGUCUUCUACCCAUCGAUGAUGACGACAAGUGAAAUUGUCACACAGGUACGACUACACACGUGGGAAAGAGACCUUGGCACAUUGCACCCCAGAAGUGCUUCCUGGCAACACCCAGCCGAGUGUGGAGAAGUACCCAUUCUUCACGGUAUACUUCUACC
rnacentral:lncRNA from 1 species